GCCUUUUUUUUUUAAUUUUGAAAGACCUUAUUUUGUCAGAAGCAUUUUGUCGAACUUUUGAACAUAAUAAUUUUAUUUAUAGAUUUUUCGUAUAAAUUACAAGUACACAAAAAUUAUUUGCGAAAUUGUCUGAAAUGUACAGAAGAGGUAUUCUAUAUAUACUGGAAAGACAUCUGCUCCGGGACGGAAGAAAUUAGAAAAUAUUUAACUGGCCAAGGUCUGCAAUACUCAACCUGCCAACCUGUGGGCUGGGAAAUGAAUAUUUCUUAUUUUCGUAAAAUGCUUCUUUGACUAACUUACGGCUCCUAUAAGAAACCGUCAACUGCAGACCUCUAAUAUAGACACGUUCAAAAUCUAUCAAUUCGUUGGAGAUUUACUUUAGACUGUUUAAAACUCA